CCCUUGAACCUUAUCUUUUAAAGGAAGGAGAAGUCGUNACAAGGUUUCCGUAGGUGAACCUGCGGAAGGAUCAUUG
rnacentral:rRNA from 1 species